rnacentral:rRNA from 1 species
UACGAAGGGUGCAAGCGUUAAUCGGAAUUACUGGGCGUAAAGGGUGCGUAGGCGGUUGUUUAAGUCUGUCGUGAAAUCCCCGGGCUCAACCUGGGAAUGGCGAUGGAUACUGGACAGCUAGAGUGUGUCGGAGGAUGGUGGAAUUCCCGGUGUAGCGGUGAAAUGCGUAGAGAUCGGGAGGAACAUCAGUGGCGAAGGCGGCCAUCUGGGACAACACUGACGCUGAAGCACGAAAGCGUGGGGAGCAAACAGG